rnacentral:lncRNA from 1 species
AAGCGACAAGAUGGAUUGAGAUCGUUAAGGCCAAAGCGAAAGAACGAUCACUAGUGUAUCAAGGCAGAAUGCGACAAGAUACUUGGACUCACUAUUAGAGUCUUAUUCUGGCCAAAGCGACAGAAUAAUACCUGCAAAAAAGAAAACAUUCUGGCCAAAGCGACAAAAUAAUACCUGCAAAAAAGAAAACAUCCUGCAAAACAACUAGAUCAGUCUAAAAACGCAUAUGACUAUUGACCGAAAAUACCUCUUGCGAUAUUCUUCUCCUUACUUUAGCCAAUCCUCGGUGAAUCUGGCCGAAGUGACAGACUCACCGUGCUCAUGUUUGACGACUUCUGGCCAGAGCGACAGAAGUGUCGGGAGAGCUUGUGAUACUCCCCCCUGAGGUUUGACAAUUUCCGGCCGGAGCGACAGAAAAGUCGGGAGAGCUUGUG